GGCUGGUCUGAAGGUAGUGAGUUAUCUCACUUGAUUGUUCACAGUUAUAGAUUGAACUCUUUGUUGUACUACUUUUCCCCCUUCUCCCGACUGCACUUGAUUAGUCUUUA
rnacentral:Y_RNA from 1 species